GAUGAACGCUGGCGGCGUGCCUAACACAUGCAAGUCGAACGGAGUAUUAUGAAGCUUUCGGGCUGAUUAAUACUUAGUGGCGGACGGGUGAGUAACGCGUGGGUAACCUGCCUCAUACAGGGGGAUAACAGUUGGAAACGGCUGCUAAAACCGCAUAAGCAUACAUUGUCGCAUGGCAGAGUGUGAAAAAUAUUUAUAGGUAUGAGAUGGGCCCGCGUCUGAUUAGCUAGUUGGUAAGGUAACGGCUUACCAAGGCGACGAUCAGUAGCCGGCUUGAGAGAGUGAUCGGCCACAUUGGGACUGAGACACGGCCCAAACUCCUACGGGAGGCAG
rnacentral:rRNA from 1 species